rnacentral:rRNA from 1 species
CGCGUAGGUGGUUUGGUCAGUCAGAUGUGAAAGCCCCGGGCUCAACCUGGGAACUGCACCUGAUACUGCCAGACUAGAGUACGGUAGAGGGUAGUGGAAUUUCCGGUGUAGCGGUGAAAUGCGUAGAGAUCGGAAGGAACACCAGUGGCGAAGGCGACUGCCUGGACCGAUACUGACACUGAGGUGCGAAAGCGUGGGUAGCAAACA